rnacentral:rRNA from 1 species
UCGUCACACUAUCAUUAACUGAAUCCAUAGGUUAAUGAGGCGAACCGGGGGAACUGAAACAUCUAAGUACCCCGAGGAAAAGAAAUCAACCGAGAUUCCCCCAGUAGCGGCGAGCGAACGGGGAGGAGCCCAGAGCCUGAAUCAGCAUGUGUGUUAGUGGAAGCGUCUGGAAAGGCGCGCGAUACAGGGUGACAGCCCCGUACACAAAAGCGCAUGUGCUGUGAGCUCGAUGAGUAGGGCGGGACACGUGGUAUCCUGUCUGAAUAUGGGGGGACCAUCCUCCAAGGCUAAAUACUCCUGACUGACCGAUAGUGAACCAGUACCGUGAGGGAAAGGCGAAAAGAACCCCGGCGAGGGGAGUGAAAAAGAACCUGAAACCGUGUACGUACAAGCAGUGGGAGCACCCUUUGGGUGUGACUGCGUACCUUUUGUAUAAUGGGUCAGCGACUUAUAUUCUGUAGCAAGGUUAACCGAAUAGGGGAGCCGGAGGGAAACCGAGUCUUAACCGGGCGUUAAGUUGCAGGGUAUAGACCCGAAACCCGGUGAUCUAGCCAUGGGCAGGUUGAAGGUUGGGUAACACUAACUGGAGGACCGAACCGACUAAUGUUGAAAAAUUAGCGGAUGACCUGUGGCUGGGGGUGAAAGGCCAAUCAAACCGGGAGAUAGCUGGUUCUCCCCGAAAGCUAUUUAGGUAGCGCCUCGUGAAUUCAUCUCCGGGGGUAGAGCACUGUUUCGGCUAGGGGGCCAUCCCGGCUUACCAACCCGAUGCAAACUGCGAAUACCGGAGAAUGUUAUCACGGGAGACACACGGCGGGUGCUAACGUCCGUCGUGAAGAGGGAAACAACCCAGACCGCCAGCUAAGGUCCCAAAGUCAUGGUUAAGUGGGAAACGAUGUGGGAAGGCCCAGACAGCCAGGAUGUUGGCUUAGAAGCAGCCAUCAUUUAAAGAAAGCGUAAUAGCUCACUGGUCGAGUCGGCCUGCGCGGAAGAUGUAACGGGGCUAAACCAUGCACCGAAGCUGCGGCAGCGACACUGUGUGUUGUUGGGUAGGGGA